rnacentral:rRNA from 1 species
UACAUAAGGAGCAAGCGUUGUCCGGAAUUAUUGGGUGUAAAGAGCUCGUAGGCGGUAUCGAAAGUCAGCUGUGAAAUCACCAGGCUCAACCUGGUAGGGCCAGCUGAAACUUCGGUACUUGAGGGGUAGAAGAGGCAGGCGGAAUUCGUUGUGUAGCGGUGAAAUACUUAGAUAUGACGAGGAACUCCUAUUGCGAAGGCAGCUUGCUGGGUCGUUACUGACGCUGAUGCUCGAAGGUGCGGGGAUCAAACAGGAUUAGA